rnacentral:lncRNA from 1 species
UGGGUGAGGGGGCGGAGCUGGCAGGGACCCUGGCUUCUGAGGGGACCUUCACAGGUGACCAUGGGGCUACAGCAGUGGACAGCAAGCUUGAGGUGGGACGUGGAAGGAGGGACGGACGGUCCGUGCGCACCUCUGUCCUUUGUCCUUUGACCGAUCUUUUGUAGAUUUAUUUUCUUUUUGCCUUAAAAUUUUUAAUGAAAUGCAAAUUGCCUGUCCAUGAUGAGUCUCUGCGGUCACUAAUAAACUGUGAAUGGAGCCAAGAACGAAGUGAUCUGGUUGAGACUGUGCAGUAUUUCACUUGAAGAAGAGGACUCGUGAGGGCUCAGCCAAAAACGGCAGUGUGUUGUUUUAGAACUUUAGAAACACCCUCACCUAUUUGUUUUUCUUUUUGUUUUGAGUCAGGCUAUCACUUUGUAGUCCAGGCUGGGGCAGGAGGGUCACUGAGAGUUUGAGGCCAGCCUGGGCUAUAUAGCAAGACUCUGUCUCCAAAAAAACAAAAAAUAAGCAUUUUCUUUAGAACUCAGGGUCAUUGGGAAAGUUAUUCCACUUCAAAAAUAUUGAGUGAUAAAGAGGAUUUAUUGGCUUCAAAAAUGUGCAGCUAGCACCUCCCACUGGGUUAAAAACUUUGUGACUGGUUCCCACCAUAUGUGACACUCGUACACCCGACCUGUACACACACCACUUUGUGUAUGUGUGUGUUACUGAGGAUCCAGCCCAAGACCUUCACAGUGAGCCACACCCCUCCCCCUUUGUUGUUAUUUUUUUGAGACAGGCUCACUUCAGUUGCCCAAGCUGGGCUCAAACUUGGGGCCCUCCUGCCUUAGCCUCCCAGUGUGCUCAAUAUGCUCGCUCACAAACUGCUCGGAGUCGUGAGGGGAGAAGCAGCGUGGGUGCUGGGGUGGCAAGUUCCCUUCCUCAGAGAGAGGUCUGCAGGAGCCCAGGGUGGGUUCACUGAGCAUGACCCCCUCUUCCACGCACCCAGAGCGGGUUGUCAUGGCAACAGGAAGCCCUUGUGUAUUAGGCUGGGAGGGUGAACACAUGCCAUGCCCACUGUCCCUGCCCUAAGUGUCGCUUUUCAGAGAAAGUGUCUUUACUGGAAAUAAAAU